rnacentral:rRNA from 1 species
GGGUACGUAGAUCUAUUGAACACCCUUGCGCACUCUGUAAUAAUAAACCGUAUCCUUUAUUUAUCGUCUUCCUGCCUGAGUACACAUGUGCAACCCGCCCUGCAUAUAGGGAUAACUCCUGGAAACCGGUGCUCAUACGCAAGAUUUUGGCUCCACUCCCGAGGCUCCACGGAAAGACAGUUUCUGCUGUCACUGCAGGAUGGGCCCCCGGCGCAAUAACUAGUUGGGGGGGUAACGGCCUCCCCAGGGCACGAUUCCUUACCCAACUGGAAGGGUGAUCGGCCCCCCUGGGACUGAAACCCCGCCCCAACCCCCACCGGAAGGCACCAUUAGGAAUCCUCCCCCAUGGAAGCAAAUCCGAACGAACCACCCCCCCGGGAUUGUGAAAGGUUUCCGAACCUAAAACUCCUUUGAUAAGGAAAAAACCGUGGCGUCUAUCUACGGGCACCUUUAGAGUGCCUCUACUCAAAACCCCGGCGAAAUAUAUGUCCCCACCCCCGCUAAUACAUAUGUGUCGAACGUUUUCCCGAAAUUUUGGGCGUAUAACGCGCGCAUGCGCUCCCUUAAAUCUCAUAUGAAAACCCCCGGCUCACCCCUGGAGGGUCAUUUUAAACUGGGGGACUUUAGUGCACAAAAGAAAAGUGUAAUUCCCCAUGUAUCGCUGAAAUGCGUACAGAUAUGUAGGAACACCCCUGUCGAAAGCGACAUUCUCGUCUCUAACUGACACUCAGGCGCGCAAACGUGUGGAGCUCACACGAUUAUAUACCCCGGUAGUCCCCACCCUAUACAUAAGAGCUCAAUGUUAUGGGGUUUCCCCCCCUUAUUGCUGCACCUCACGCACUAUACACUCUCCCUCGGGGAGUACAACCACCACAGCUCAAACUCUCAAGAGUUUUCGCGGGCCCGCACACACGCUGUAGCAUAUGUUUUAUUUCUCAGCACAGCGCAGAACCUUAUCACGGUCUUUACAUCUCGCUUUAACACCCCUGAAAAAAAGGCUUUUCCGUUUUCGGGACAACACUGACACGUGGUGCACAGGUUUUCCCCCCCCUCUCCUCCUGAGAAAAUUUGGGUUUAAUCCCCCCACAAAGGGCCCCACCCCUUUAGCUUUAUUUUUCCCCCAUUUUCUUUUGGCCCCCUGGAUGGGAAAUUCCCCUUUUAACGCCCCCAAAAAAGGGUGGGAGGGGGGGGGAUGCGUGUUGUCUCCCCUGUAAACAGACUCCGCUAGACCUCUUUUCUUUUUU